rnacentral:lncRNA from 1 species
AUUCUUAUAGUCAAAUAUCCCAAGGUAACAAAGAAUAUUGAAAUCAUUUACUAUCAUUUAAACAGAUGAAGUGCUAAAGAAAACUAAAUGAAGCUAAAUUAACCAAACCAACAAACCCAAACAGUCAUGAAUAUCUCCAGGAGAUCUAACACCCUCCCCUAUGUAUCGAGCAAUUAAUGAUUCUAGUCUGAAAAAAAAAAUAAUGAGUCACACC